rfam:Oryza sativa (indica cultivar-group) chromosome 9, whole genome shotgun sequence.
AAUAAGUGCAGUUUUACACUGUUCAUCUUCAACGUUUGACCGUUCGUCUUAUUUAAAAAAUUUUUAUGAUUACUAUUUUUAUUGUUAUUAGAUGGUAAAACAUGAAUAGUAUUUUAUAUGUAACUAAUUUUAAUAAAAUUUUUUAUAAUAUUUUUAAAUAAGACGGACGGUCAAAUGUUGGAUACGGAUUUCCACGACUGCAUUUAUU